UAAGUGCGGAACGGAUAAACGCUGAAGGCAUCUAAGCGUGAAGCCGACCUUAAGAUAAGAUAUCCCUUCGUAAGAGUAAGACCUCUCAAAGACUAUGAGUUUGAUAGGCUCAAAGUGUAAGCGUGGUGACACGUUCAGCUUGCGAGUACUAAUCGGUCGAGGGCUUUUCCU
rnacentral:rRNA from 1 species